GCUGCGGUGGUCUAGGGGUAUGACAUUCGCCUCACAAAGCCUGUGUCCGCGAAUGGUCGCGAGUUCGAUCCUCGCUCGCAGUA